AUUAAUCAUAAACCCAAAUUGAGAACAUUUUGUUUGAUUCAGGGUGAAUUGGUGUGUGAGAGAUAUGUUAUGUAUAACCUACCUAAAAACAAGAGAUCGCUACGUGCACAGGUCAGAUCAGGGAUAUUGUCUCUGCGUAUUGAAACAGGUCAGAUCAGGGAUAUUGUCUCUGCGUAUUGAAACAGGUCAGAUCAGGGAUAUUGCCUCUGCGUGUUGAAACAGGUCAGACCAGUGUUAUUGUCUCUGCGUAUUGAAACAGGUCAGAUCAGGGAUAUUGUCUCUGCAUAUUGAAACAGGUCAGAUCAGGGAUAUUGUCUCUGCAUAUUGAAACAGGUCAG
ensembl:lncRNA